CUAUCCUUCACCCUAGCCAUAACCCUAAUUCUAACAUUAACCCCAAUCCUAUCCUUAACCCUCGCCAUAACAUGUAGCCUAACAUUAACCAUAAUCCUAUCCUGAUCCCUAGCCAUAACCCUAAUUCUAACAUUAACCAUAAUCCUAUCCUUAACCCUAAACACAACACUAAGCCUAAUAUUAACCUUAUGCCUAUCGUUAACCCUAGCCAUAACACAGAGUUUAACAUUAUUCCUAAUCCUAUCCUUAACCCUAGCCAUAACACUAACUG